UCACAAUACUUCAAACAAAAACCACAGCAGGUAUUUUUCUGCCAGUGGAGCUCAAAACAAGUAGCUGCUUAUUUAGGGCAGGCAACGCAGGGCCCAGGUAUUUAAUCAGAAUAAGUGUGGGUCUGAAACCGCGUACACUCUCAGAAGCCUGGGGACGGGAAUAUCCGUCUCAGAUUUGUUUGGCCAGGAUCAGUCACCGUGGAAUCCGAAUGGAGCCCUUGGCAGGAUCAGUUCCUGAAAGUUCACUCUCUUUGCUUCCUGCUGAUGGGUGAAGAUGUGAAUCCUCAGUUUCCAGCUCCAGCCGCUAUACCUGCAUGCUGUCACACUUCCUCGAGGGGCCAGUGAUGGACUCUUACACCUCUGGCACUGCAGGCAUCCAGGUGUACAGAAACCCAAGUACACGAGGAACCACAUUAGAACCCAGGGGGCUUUAAUUUUGUGCUUGAAUUAGAUUUCGUUAUCCUGGAUUACGAUCUACACUGACUCUUAGUUCAUGAACAAACUUUCUUCUGGAAUCUUUCCCCACUUGUUUAUCUGCCACUGUCCAAUCGUCUCCCGGUGAAGUGAGGCUGACUAAAGAGACCCUUCACGGGCUAGUGUGGAUGUGACAUGUCUCUGGCCUCUCGCAGUCAUGCCAGCCAGGGACAGAUUUUCCUCUCUUCUUCAAGGUGGGGAUGAGAGCAAAGAAGCAAGCACAAAACAACUCUGCUGGCAAGGCAGACAGUGGGCACUGAAGAAUAGCGUGUACUUUUUCUUUUUCUUAUAACUUACAGGCAUCAUCUCUUGGGAAUGGAAUGUCAAGGUCUCGGUGUUCUAGUCUCUCUCCGAAAGAGGGUACCAUUCUGGGAACCCAGAUAAAAGAAAUAUUGUCAAAUGGCCAUGAAGAUGCCUCAGCUAGAUUGCCUAACAGCCUUGUCCCACACCAUGCCUGUAGGUGCUGACGUUUCUGCCUUAUAUUGUAUUAAGUUGUUCUAUUCUCCUUGCUGUAACCAAAUGCAACCCAAAGGCAGAGAAGUGUAUUCUGGCUCACAGCUCAGAAAAUGGGGAGGCGAGGCAUGAGGUUGGGAGCAGUCUGGUCCUUGGUGCCACACAGUGAGCAGGGGCAAAGCAAAGCUAUGGUCUGCUGGCUUUCUCUCUCUCUCUUUCUCUCUCUCUCUCUCUCUCUCUCUCUCUCUCUCUCUCUCUCUCUCUCUCUCUUUUCCAGUUCUAUUCAUUAGGCGACCUCAGCAUGCAGGAUGAAGUCACCUAUGUUCAGCGUUUGUCCCCCCUCUUCAGUUAACCUCUCUGUAAACUGUACCUUAGUGAUACCCUAGGUUUUCAACACGGAGUUAGUUUCACAAUGGAAGUUAGCCAUCAUAAGUUAACCCCUUGUCAACAGGACACUCAAACAUAGCCCACGGCAACUGUACUUUUCCUAGCACUUGGUUUUCUGAAUGAGCGUGCCUCUUAGGUCUGCUGCACAUUUUCCUAUUUGAAGUGUGUUGAUCAGGGGCUCUAUGCAUAUGCAUGGUGAGGCUGUAUGACUCUUCCGCCUCUGCUGGAGGCCAUUCACAUUCAAGCCACCUCUGCAUUGAGCUAUGGGGGUGCGGUGAGACCUGGCUGAGUGUCAGGCUGGCCCUUGAUCCUUCCUGGUAAGCUCAGAAUUCCUCCUUGCUUCCACUUCUCAUGUCCCCCCCAUGAGAAUUGGCUAGUUCAAGCACCUGAUCCCAGACAUCAGGCUGAAAACUUCUGAUGAUGGGGAUCAAAGGAAUCAAAGGAGAUAAAGGUCAUUCUCUUUGGGAGUGUUUUCCCCAAAUGAUGUUUACUUCAACAAUUGAAGUGUUGCUAUGACAGUCAUUGAGAAUGUGUUGCUAUGACAGUCAUUGAGAAUGAGAACAAAAGCCUUUAAGAAAGUAAACAGUGAGAAUAAAACACAGCGAACAGACCAGGAGCUUCAUAGAGAAGUAUGGUGGUGUGUAUAUGCUCAGCCCGGGGAGUGACAUUAUUAGAAAGUGUG